rnacentral:misc_RNA from 1 species
UCUGUGUAUCUGUACAUUACCGCAAUGUGGAUGAGAAGAGCUGGAAAUCAGUUGCACAAUGUGUCUAUGAUGUUAUAAAAAGCUAUCCACGCCUUCGAUUGACUCAUGGGAGGAAGGUUUUAGAGGUCCGACCUGUGAUCAAUUGGGAUAAGGGGAAAGCUGUCACGUUUCUGCUUGAAUCACUUGAUCUAAGCAAUUGUGAUGAUGUGCUUCCAAUUUACGUUGGAGAUGACCGCACAGAUGAAGAUGCAUUUAAGGUUUUGCGAGGGAGGAACUGUGGUUAUGGUAUUUUAGUGUCAUCUGUACCAAAGGAAACCAGUGCUUUUUACUCUCUUAGGGACCCGUCAGAGGUGAUGGAGUUCCUCAAGUCCCUGGUGAUGUGGAAGAAGUCGAGCGUGCAGUAAGAUUUACAAAGAGGAGAAUACUCAUACGAUAAGAAAAGCCUAUAUGUUUUUGGUUGGCUACUUUACCUAGGAAAUACACCAUCCAGCUGCUCAAAGCUUCUCGUCUUAGCUGUAAAUUCCUUUCUUUUGUUCUCUUAUUUUUUCCUCCAUAUUUUUUUUCUGUCAGUUCAACCUCUGGGGGAUUUGUUUACACAGACUUCUAAAUAUAUGUUAAUUCUUUUAAAUAUUUAAAGGUUUAUUUUCGUGCCAAU